rnacentral:rRNA from 1 species
CACGUAGGGGGCGAGCGUUGUCCGGAAUUAUUGGGCGUAAAGGGCGCGUAGGCGGCCUGGCAAGUGGAAGGUGAAAUCCCUCGGCUUAACCGAGGAACUGCCCUCCAAACUGCUUGGCUUGAGUCCGGGAGAGGUGAGUGGAAUUCCCAGUGUAGCGGUGAAAUGCGUAGAUAUUGGGAGGAACACCAGUGGCGAAGGCGGCUCACUGGACCGGAACUGACGCUGAGGCGCGAAAGCGUGGGGAGCAAACAGGG